GGGGUAUUCAAAUCUAUAUUGUAAACAUGGUUCAUUUUGCUAAAAUAUUAACUUUGCUUUCUGAUGGGAAGAGGUAAUUUAUGGGGAUACCAAUUUUUUUGUCUACACUAAAACGUAAUCUAUUUCUUUAGUAAUACCUAGAGUUGUUUUAUUGACACUUAAUUGAGUAGUUGGUUUUUUUUUGUUUUUUUUUUUGUUUUUUUUUUUUUUUUUUCACCACUUCUACUGAAACUAUUCUCUGGGAGGUCCUCAAUGACCUUUCACAUGGCAAGUAAUUUUUGGCAAGUGAUCAUUGCAUCCAAAAGUUUGUUCAGCCCCAGUCCAGGAUCAUUCUUUUGUAACAUCUUAAACUUUUUUCUUUUUUAUCCUUAUUUAAAAAAAAAAAACAUGAAAUAAAUGCAAACAAACAAACAAACAAAAACGCACAGAAAUCCUAAGUUAUGCAGCUUGGUAACCUAUAAGAAAGUGAACACAUCUUUUUAACCACUAUCAAGAAAUAGAACAAUAUCACUUAUUUUUAAGGAGUUACUACUCUGGUCAGGCUCUCUACUAAGUCCUGUGUGUAGACUUUAGAACUAACUUAGGCUGGGGUGAUAAUACUAAGGAGUCAUCAAUGGCUGAAAUCCAACUUCAUUACCAAGAUAUUCAAGACUCUUCACUAUCAGGGUCAAUUUUUCCCCCUUUCUGAAUCAGCCUCAUGUCACAGAGCCCUCAUUCUCAUUCAUUGACAAAUUACUUGCUAUUUAGUUGGAGCACACCCUAAUUUUCUCCGGUGCCUUUGCUUAUGCUGUUCCUUCUUCUGGGAAUGCAGCUCCUCCUCCUGGCCUGUCCUUUGUCCUGCCUUCCCCUAGCACAUGCAGCGCUCAAAGCUUUCUUGGAGACUCAGCUUGAACAACAUCUUUUCAGUGAUGUGAACCUGCUCUUCCUGAUUGAAGGUACCAGCGUGCUCCUGAGCGGCUGUGAGCGACGUCGGCUCCCGACGAGGAGGGGCUGUGACUCAGCGCUGCAACUGCCAGAGCUGCGCCGAGAGCUAAGCCGAGCGGACGGGAGGUGCGUCUCCCCGCAAAACCCCGCGUCAAAAAACGCCUACCAAAUGCUUUCUCGUUUGGACCCAGACUCCAGUUCCGGAGCAGUCUGGUAGCCGGAUCCCCUAGGAGGAGAAGUAGUAAAGCGGUAAGAAGAAAGCAUUUCAGUUUGGAACACCUAACUUGCACCUGGAAAUGGGGAAUGGACUGUCAGACCAGACUUCUAUCUUGUCCAGCCUGCCUUCAUUUCAGUCCUUUCACAUUGUUAUUCUGGGUUUGGACUGUGCCGGAA
rnacentral:lncRNA from 12 species